rnacentral:rRNA from 1 species
UACGUAGGGUGCAAGCGUUGUCCGGAAUUAUUGGGCGUAAAGAGCUCGUAGGCGGUUUGUCGCGUCGGCUGCGAAAACUCGGGGCUCAACCCCGAGCCUGCAGUCGAUACGGGCAAACUUGAGUGUGGUAGGGGAGACUGGAAUUCCUGGUGUAGCGGUGAAAUGCGCAGAUAUCAGGAGGAACACCGGCGGCGAAGGCGGGUCUCUGGGCCAUAACUGACGCUGAGGAGCGAAAGCGUGGGGAGCGAACAGG